UACGAGGGGGGCAAAUGUUGUUCGGAAUCACUGGGCGUAAAGGGAGCGUAGGCGGGUUUCUAAGUCAGGUGUUUAAUCCCGGGGCCCAACCCCGGACAGGCACUUGAAACUGGGAAUCUUGAAUAGUGGAGAGGUCAGUGGAAUUGGGGGUGUAGCGGUGGAAUGCGUAGAGAUCCCCAAGAACACCAGUUGCGAAGGCGGCUGACUGGGCACAUAUUGACGCUGAGGCUCGAAAGCAUGGGGAGCAAACAGG
rnacentral:rRNA from 1 species